GCCGGGCAUGGUGGCGCUCGCCUGUAGUCCCAGCUACUUGGGAGGCUGAGGCAGGAGAAUUGCUUGAACCCAGGAGGUGGAGGUUGCAGUGAGCCGAGACUGUGCCACUGCACUCCAGCCUGGGCAACAGAGUGAGACUCUGUCUCAA
rnacentral:SRP_RNA from 1 species